GCCAUCUUUGAUGAGUGGGCUACAAUCCAUAUAACCGCAGAGUUUUGUCCACAGUCAGCCCUGCUGUUUUGGGUCUAUGGCAGCACAGAACAUCGUGGUGGAAGCCUGCUCACCUUGUGGAGCCCUGGAAAUGACUGUCAGAUGGCCAGGCCUGGAAAUCUGCCUUUGAUAAAACAAAAGCAUUAAAGGAAAGGAAAACAUAAACGAUAGAGAGGAAGAAGGACCCGUGGAAAUAGCUGCUUCUGCACCCGCGCGGCAGGGAAUAGCUGGCCACGAUAACGCAACCCUUGGGGCUGCCCAGUCCUGCAGCCCGGAGGGCAGGCUCUCUGCUGCAGAGGCAGAUGUACUGGAUCCAGGGGACCUUCCGCCAUGUUUCCCGCCCUUCGCAGCUCACAAGGGACUCCACACUCAUGUAUAGGUGCUCAUCUGCCCUGUCACAGAUGGGAAGAUGAUCCCAAGGGUGAGUGUCCAUCCCACCAAUGGUCACCUCAUGGUAGAGCCCAUAA